UGGCUUCUGAGACGCAGGUCCUCAACAUCUGACUUUUUUCCCCAGGUACAUAUGCAAAAAUUAAAAAUAAAAGUUCUUUCUAUUUCAGCUGAAAAACCAUCAUGGUGUUACACAAUUCGUACUGUUAUGGUCCCAUCUCCCACUUCCAAACGCAAGUCAUAUUCAAGCUGGCUCAAACAGGGACCCGCCAUCAGUCUAGGAAUUAACAUCACUAACUAUGGUGGGAGGACUUCAGUCUAAAGCAGAAAGGAGGAUAUGAAAUGGAGAAUAUCAUUCAAGUGCCUCUGAAGAACGGAACUUAAGAACAGAGAGCCUAAUUUCCUGGAAAUGCAAGACACAGCUUUACCUUCUGACCAGGGAACAUCUGCCAGGAGUCUCUCCUCAUCCUCAAGCCAAUGACCUUACUUUUUGAACCCUGGCUGGAUGACCCCAUCUUUGGACUCCUUGCCCAUACAUACAGGUCAUCCCAAGCCCUCAUCAGAUUCCCCAUGACUUGCAAUAGCAUGUGUUUUCCAAAUUGCAAUUUCUCUGCUAUUCCCAAGUAAACUAGGUUUCUGGUAAUUCAAGCUUGCCUCAGUUUACCUUUUUAUUUAGACUGACACUAAUAAUGUAACUUUGGUCAGGUUAUUUAGUAUCUCUAGGCUACAGUUACCUAAUUUAUAAAGUGAGAAUAACAAUACUACCAAUGUUAGAGAUUGCUGGGAGGAUUAAAUGAGUUAAUACUACUAUCAUCUAAAUAUUGAGAAGUGCUUCAGGAAUAAUUAGCAAAUAGUAAGCAAUCUAAAUAGAUAACUUUUACCCUUUAUCAGUAGAUAUUUUUAAUGGAGCAAUAAAAAGUGAGGGGAGUUGAGAAGUAUGUUCUAGAACCUGAUUUUUCAAAUAGUGUAUGUUAAAGACAUUCUUUAAAAAAAAAAAAUUACUUAGAGGCACCUGGCUGGCUCAGUUGAGAGCAUGCGACUGUUGAUCUCGGAGUUGUGAGUUCAAGCCCCAUGUUGGGUGUACAGAUUACCGAAAUAAAUAGACUUAAAAAGAACACUCUAAAAAAAAGAAACACACAUCUCUUCUUUAAAAGAAACUACUUAAAUGUCUGAGCUUUUCUCCUAUUUGUGGAGAAUCACAGUGGAUGUCACCUGAAUUAUGAAUAGUAUGGAUGUGAAAAUCAAGUGUCAUGUAUUAAAUAUGUUU
rnacentral:lncRNA from 1 species